AAAGGGGCUGUGAGGUGAAAAGAAGGAAGUGAUGGGGAGUGCGAUGACGGGAAGCGAGCGGCGAAGAGUAGACCACCAUGAGGGAGACGGCGGAGGAGACGCGGCCACUGAACCCUGUGCCUUCGCCUAGGCCAACAACACCCUCCCCUAUUACUGCCCUCGCAUCAACGAAGCAAAGGUCUCCAUCAGUCCUAUACAUUAGGGUUUCCGACCUCUUCCUUGUGUCAUCUUCUCUUGCCUCCGUGGCGACCAUGUGUGAGAUUUGAUUGUGCCAUCGUUGUGGUCACCGAUAGAUGCUUUGCGAUCAAUGGGGUGUUCAGAGCUUGCCUCUCUGAUUGACAAUGGGUUUUGGAUAGUUUUCUGAGCAGUAGAGAAAUAUCGUCUCCGAAUGAGUUUUCCAUAGAUGAGUCUUCAUGGGUUCUCUUGCAGAGAAGGAUUCGAUGAAAUCACAGAACGUUUCAAACAGAAGUUACAGCAUUUAUGGCUCGCACUCAAAAGCGAGCUGUCGAAGCUCUUAUUUUCAUCCGGCUCUUGUCUGGUCCGGUUUGGCCAGCCCUUUAUAUGGUGAAGCAAGAUGUGUUUUCAUCGUGGGGGAAGAGUAACUCAUGUAAGCUCUCAAGAUUUAUAACUAAAUUGAAGCUCAAUUUGUUGUUAAUUGUGCAAGUAAAAUUGGUCAUCAGACGUGACAAACUUAAAAAGUAAUUAUGCAGCAACUCUGUUGAUAAUGUCGUUUGACUUUUUUAGUCGUCGGUGGCCUUAAUAUUGUGGGCGGCACUGAUGUGAUGUUCUAAUGACUUGUUAUCAAAUGCUAGUCUAUUGCAGUGA